rnacentral:misc_RNA from 1 species
GCGGAUUGCGGUGGCGCGGGCAUUGCUGCGGAAGGCACAAAUAAUGCUGCUGGACGAGGCAACCAGCGCCCUGGACGCUGAGUCGGAGCGGUGCGUGCAGGGGGCGUUGGAUCGAGCAGCAGCGGCGGGGAGGGCUACAACAAUUGUGGUGGCGCACCGGCUGGCGACAGUGCGGGGGGCGCAUUCCAUUGCGGUGAUGGAGGAAGGGAAGGUGGUGGAGCAGGGGUCGCAUAAUCACCUCCUGAGCCAGCAUCCGGACGGGUUUUACGCCAGGAUGCUGCAGCUGCAGAGGCUCACCGGAGUAGUUCCGGUGAUGGGCGCUUCCACUAGUGAUAAUCAGUCUUGAUACUUAAUAGAAAUGUGACACUAAUUGAAAGAGAGAUUUACAUAAGACUCGUGCUCAUACAUUGUAUCUCUUUCU